rnacentral:rRNA from 1 species
UGCAGUCGAGCGGUAGAGAGAAGCUUGCUUCUCUUGAGAGCGGCGGACGGGUGAGUAAUGCCUAGGAAUCUGCCUGGUAGUGGGGGAUAACGUUCGGAAACGGACGCUAAUACCGCAUACGUCCUACGGGAGAAAGCAGGGGACCUUCGGGCCUUGCGCUAUCAGAUGAGCCUAGGUCGGAUUAGCUAGUUGGUGGGGUAAUGGCUCACCAAGGCGACGAUCCGUAACUGGUCUGAGAGGAUGAUCAGUCACACUGGAACUGAGACACGGUCCAGACUCCUACGGGAGGCAGCAGUGGGGAAUAUUGGACAAUGGGCGAAAGCCUGAUCCAGCCAUGCCGCGUGUGUGAAGAAGGUCUUCGGAUUGUAAAGCACUUUAAGUUGGGAGGAAGGGCAGUUACCUAAUACGUGAUUGUUUUGACGUUACCGACAGAAUAAGCACCGGCUAACUCUGUGCCAGCAGCCGCGGUAAUACAGAGGGUGCAAGCGUUAAUCGGAAUUACUGGGC